rnacentral:tRNA from 1 species
AUCUAAAUAGUUUAAUUAGAAUAAUAAUUUGUGGUGUUAUAGGUAUAUAUUUAUUUUAGGUU